UACGAAGGGGGCUAGCGUUGCUCGGAAUUACUGGGCGUAAAGCGCACGUAGGCGGUCUUUUAAGUCGGGGGUGAAAUCCUGGAGCUCAACUCCAGAACUGCCUUCGAUACUGGAAGACUUGAGUCCGGGAGAGGUGAGUGGAACUGCGAGUGUAGAGGUGAAAUUCGUAGAUAUUCGCAAGAACACCAGUGGCGAAGGCGGCUCACUGGGCCGGUACUGGCGCUGAGGUGCGAAAGCGUGGGGAGCAAACAGG
rnacentral:rRNA from 1 species